rnacentral:lncRNA from 1 species
GUCUCAUCGCAGCCCUCUGGCAGGACAGCGCGCGUCUAAACUAAGCCGAGGCGCACUUCGCUAAGGGGACCUCUCCGUUUGGACAAUCCCGACGCCCGGCUCUACGUGAGGCGUUUUUCCCUCGUUCUCAUUCAUGGGCGGCGCUGGGCAUUCUCUGCCAUCCUUAGGGGUCCUCCACAGCAUGCGGGAGGCCGGCGCCCCAGGGCUCUUUCACCCCCCGCUGCUCUCGUUCCUCCACGUGUUCUCCCGAGCGACCCACCCGCGUUCAUGGUCCCAAACCCCCACCUAACCUCCAGCCAGCGCCCUUCUCCCGAGCUCCAGGCCCCUCCAGCUCCAGUGUGGGCAUCGUCCCCUGGUUCUCCUCAAGUCCACUUACACUCAGCCUCUUCCAGGCGGAAUUCCUCAUCUCCCACACAACCCUUUGCCGCUCUGGUAUCAGCUGGUGGCUUCUCCGUGGCCAUGCAGAGAAUAGAGACAGAACUUGAAACUGAUGUGCACAUGAGUGAGAUUCUUCAGCAAGGUGACAGACAGGAGGGUAAAGAGGAAGUAGGAUGAGCUCUUUGCUUUGAGUUUCUGUUUUCCAGGUCGGCUUGAUUGGAAAGAGGGAUGGCCGUGGUGAGAGUUGACAGUGUGCUGGUAGCCCUCGCAGCCCACGCUCGCUCUCGGCGCCUCCUCUGCCUGGGCUCCCACUUUGACGGCACUUGAGGAGCCCUCCAGCCCGCCGCCGCACUGUGGGAGCCCCUUGCUGGGCUGGCCGAGACCGGAGCCAGCUCCCUCAGCUUGCAGGGAGAUGCUCCUGCCGGGCCUGAGUCUCCCCGACGAGCGCUGCCCCAUGUUCCACGGCGCCCGAUCCCAUCCACUGCCCAAGGUCUGAGGAGUGCCAGCGCACGGCGACGGAGUGGCAGGCAGCUCCACCUGCGGCCCCGGUGUGAGAUCCACUGGAUGAAGCCAGCUGGACUCCUGAGUCUGGUGGGGACUUGGAGAAUCUUUAUGUCUAGCUGGGGGAUUGUGAAUGCACCAAUCAGCACUCUGUAUCUAGCUCAAGGUUUGUAAACACACCAAUCAGCACCCUGUGUCUAGCUCAGGGUUUGUGAAUGCACCAAUCGACACUCUGUUUCUAGCUAAUUUAGUGGGGCCGUGGAGAACUUUUGUGUCGAACUCAGGGAUUGUAAACGCACCAAUCAGCACUCUGUCAAAAUGGACCAAUCAGCUCUCUGUAAAACAGACCAAUCGGCUCUCUGUAAAAUGGACCAAUCAGCAGGAUGUGGGUGGGGCCAGAUAAGAGAAUAAAAGCAGGCUGCUCCGCGCUAGCACUAGCAAGUUGCUAGAGUGGCCUGCCACAGUGUAAGUUUUGUUCUUUAGCUCUUUGCAAUAAAUCUUGCUACUGCCCACUCUUUGGGUUUACACUGCAUUUAUGAGCUGUAACACUCAUGGUGAAGAUUUACAGGUUCAGUCCUGAAGCCAGCGAGACAAAGAACCCACUGGGAAGAACAAACAACUCCAGACGCCCCAACUUAAGAGCUGUUAACACCCGAAGAUCUGCAGCUUCACUUUUGAGCCAGCGAGACCACGAACCCACCAGAAGGAAGAAACUCUGAACAGGCUGGAACGUCAGAAGGAACAAACUCAGGACAUGCCACCUUUAAGAACUGUAACACUCACUGUGAGGGUCUGCGGCUUCAUUCUUGAAGGCUGUGAGACCAAGAACCCACCAAUUUCGGACACACUGGGACCACCCUCGCUGACUGGAGCACUUGAGGCAAUCAUUCCCAGAUAGUGGAACCUCGAAUGGCAGACACUGUGGUUCUCCUGCGGGGCUGAGAACUGUGAGGAGCAGAGCAGACUUCAUGGAGCUCCACAAGUCACAUACACAGGCGGCUGCUGGCUAUUUCCGCUUUCUCAUCUGGAAUUGGCAGCGGACUAAGUGGGCCCUACUUAUUAGGUUGGUGCAAAAGUAAUCGCGAUUCUUGCCAUUAAAAGUAAUGGCAAAAGCUGCGAUUACUUUUGCACCAAUCUUACUAUAUAUAUAUUAUUUUUUCAAAUCUCAGUUUUAUUCUCAUUCCAGCAUCCUAAUGCUUUCCCUUUGGAUUUUUUUUUCUAAUCUUGAGAAGUUUGUGUUUUCAGUGUAGUAAUAACAAUAAUAGUGUUCUUAGCACACGCGUUACGCCAAGGGCUUUUAAAAGAUACUUUUCAUAAACCAACUCACUUAAUUCUCACAACAACUUUUGAAGUAGUCCACUUUCUAAUCCUCAUUUUACAGAUAAGGAAACUGAGGCACACAAGGUCAGCUAACCUGCCCGAGGUCUCUAGCUAGUGACUGGAAGAGGUGUUCUCUGGAUAUUAUUUGAAUCUCAGUCUCGCUAUAUUUCUUCGUCAUGACUGUAACUUUCCCCCUGUAUUUCUAAAUAUUUUAAUCUCUUGAUCAUAUAGCAUACGUUGAUUUAAUAAAUCACUUUUACAUGCAUUAUCGUAUUUGGUAUUCAUCACAGCUCUCUGAGGUGGGUAAGGGAGAUUUGGUUACUUCUUUCUGACAAAUGAGAAAAAUGAUGCUCAUAGACACUGUUAAGUUAGAAGCACAGGGCGUUAAUUCUGGAAGUGUUUUAAAGAUUACCCAAUCCAGCCACUCAACUUUUAGGAAAUUGAGCGUCAGAAAAAUAAAUGCCUUUCUCUAGUUCCCACAGCUGGCUGCAGUACCAAUCACCUGCCUCUGAGUUCAUUGCCAGCUGGGUGCUGUGGAACUUACCUUGACUUUGGAGUUAAUUAUCCAACUUCUCUGAGCUAUA